rnacentral:lncRNA from 1 species
GAGGCCAGCAGGCAGGGCCUGUGUCUGCCAAGGGACAGGCCAGGCCAGUUGCAGGCCUGUAUCAUCCCCGUCUACGCCCUCCGUCUCCUCCACCACGCUGGUGAAGCUGCUGGCGCUGGAGGAAGAUCUGGAGAAGCCCUGCAGCACUUCCGUUCUCUGGGCAGCCGACUCCACUCUGCCACACAGUGCCGUGAGCCAUCAGCCGUGGGCACUGUGCCACAAUCCCUUGUCCCCUGCCUUCCCCAAGGAAACUCAGCCUGGAGCCAAGCAAGCACCCUGGGACUCCCAACACAGCUCGUCCAGCCUCUCAGCUCCCGUGGACUCCCAGUGACGCCCUUCCCAUUCCUUGAUAGAUCCCUCCAUGCUCAAACACCCUCUCGAGGCUCCCCAUCUGCCCCCAGGAAACGUCGGGAGCGUCGGCUUGGUACUCAGUUACUGUGGAACUCAAUGGCUUACUCCUUGGUCCCUGAGGCAGUGCUAUUGUGGGACUGUCUCCCAGGCCUGGAAGCAAGGAGGAAGGUGGGACUCGGCCUCGGGUGGCUCAGCUCAACACGUGGCAGGGAUUGGAGACCUCACACUUGGGGUCUUUGUGUCUCCUGCUCCAAGUCUCGCUUAUCCAACAAUUCCACAGCCCAGAUUUGUCACUGUUAUACUUUUCUGUCUCUGUUCAGCAGGCCCCCCCACCCCCACCCCGUGGCAGAAACCAGUGGCCU